rnacentral:rRNA from 1 species
CCUACGGGGGGCAGCAGUAGGGAAUCUUCCACAAUGGGCGAAAGCCUGAUGGAGCAACGCCGCGUGGGUGAAGAAGGUCUUCGGAUCGUAAAACCCUGUUGUUAGAGAAGAAAGAGCGUGAUAGUAACUGUUCACGUUUCGACGGUAUCUAACCAGAAACCCACGGCUAACUACGUGCACGCAGCCGCGGUAAUACGUAGGUGGCAAGAGUUAUCCGGAUUUAUUGGGCGUAAAGGGAACGCAGGCGGGCUGUUAAGUCUGAUGUGAAAGCCUUCGGCUUAACCGGCGUAGGGCAUUGGAAACUGGGAGCCGUGAGUGCAGAAGAGGAGAGUGGAACUCCAUGUGUAGCGGUGAAAUGCGUAGAUAUAUGGAAGAACACCAGUGGCGAAAGCGGCUGUCUGGUCUGUAACUGACGCUGAGGUUCGAAAGCGUGGGUAGCAAACAGGAUUAGAUACCCUUGUAGUC